GUUGUAUGAGCUCCUAUCUCUGUGUGUGUGUCUGCAGCUCUGUUCUCCCAGGUGGCUGUGCUGGCUGCAGUGUUAGUCCUCGUAGUCAUCACUGUCAUCUUCCUCAUUGCCCUCUGGAGAAAGAAGCCCAGCUAUGAGAUUUGAUGGAAGGUGAUGGAGUCAGCAAGCUCAGACAGCCAUGAGUGCACCUACAUCGACCCUAUGCACCUGCCCUAUGACUGUGAGUGGGAGGUGCCCCGAGACAGCAUGGUCCUGAGUGAGGGAAUAUUACAACUCAGUAAGUCAGUGAAUAUGUUUUAGCAUAAUUAUGUGAAUAGCGUAGCCUAUACACUGUAUAAAUCAUACUUUAUUGAUAGAUUUGGCGUUGGCUAAGCUAACAGUGCACCUCAUUUUCUGUCACACUAGGUCACACGUUCAGGAGGGUCGUGGAGGCAACAGCAUACGGAUUUGGUCACACCCAGUCCACCACCAAAUUGGCUGUGAAGAUGCUCAAGUUGUGUGCUAGGUUAUCACCCGGUCCUGGAACCUUGGCAUCAGAGCCAGAUCGAGGCUCCUGCAGUGGAUGAAUGGUUUCGGCACUCGCGCGUCAAGAGGGGGGUACUGUCACGACUUCGACCGAAGUUGGUCCCUCUCCUUCUUCGGGCUGUGUUCGGCGGUAGACUUCGGUCUACCGGCUUUCUAGACACCACCAAUCUAUGUUUCAUUUUCAUUUUUGUCUUGAUCAUGCACACCUGGUUUCUAUGUUCCUUAUUUAACCCUCUGAUUUCCCUCUGUUUUGUGCAUUAUUGUUUGUCAUGCGGGUUCUCGUUGUUCGUGCUUGGGAUUAUUGUAUUUGUCCUUGUUGGAAUCUCACUUAUUUUGGAGAAAAUUUUGGAUGAUUACUCAGAACUGUGUCCUGCACCUGACUCUGCAUUUUUACAUGUUACCAACGUCCUCACACUUACCCUUAUCCUGAUAUAG
rnacentral:lncRNA from 13 species